GGAUAAUUUACAACCCUUACCGAAAGCAAUUGGAGGGCAAGUCUGGUGCCAGCAGCCGCGGUAAUUCCAGCUCCAAUAGCGUAUAUUAAAGUUGUUGCAGUUAAAAAGCUCGUAGUUGAAGUUCUGAUUGUUCGGGCCUCGCGCUUUAUAGCCGAGGAACCGACAGUCAUCCGCUUGCAAAUAUAUGUUCGCCUUUAACCGGGUGGCUAUAUGAGUAAGCAAUUUUACCUUGAGAAAAACAGAGUGUUCCAGGCAGGUUUGUCCGGAAUGCAUUAGCAUGGAAUAAUAGAAUAUGACUGAAGUCGAUUUAUUGGUUUAAGGCUUUAGUAAUGAUUAAUAGGAACAGUCGGGGGCAUUGGUACUUGACAGUCAGAGGUGAAAUUCUAGGAUUUGUCAAAGACUAACAAAUGCGAAAGCAUUUGCCAAGGAUAGUUUUUCAUUAAUCAAGAACGAAAGUUAGGGGAUCAAAGACGAUCAGAUACCGUCCUAGUCUUAACUAUAAACUAUACGACUCGGAUUCAGAUGAA
rnacentral:rRNA from 1 species